ensembl:lncRNA
AUGCAUGCAUUUACAGCAAAAAUUAGGAGGGAUGAGCUACAGCGUACCCAGAAGCAACUGCGAGUCGCUAAGGGAAAAGAGACUUCACAUCUUUCCGCUUGGAAAGGGGGGGCCUGAAUUCUGAUCGCUGUUACCAUAUUACACAAUACUUUGUUCUGCUCGUAACCCUGUGCAUUUUGGCAGAAGCAAGGUACCAGUCAAUGCGAUUACGGGGAUCAGAAUCUAGUCCUGAAACCUAUAGAUGUGGGAAAGCACGCUGCAUUAGGAAAAAAUGAAAGCAUGUCAAUAAACAUAUGAUCAAAUAGUACUUGCAUUAAAAAGUGGUUCAAUAACAUCAAUAGCCAUUACAGGAGGAAGAAAAAGUAUUGUAGAAUUUUGAAAAACACUGUCUUUACUUUGUCUUUUGUUUUAUUUAUGACUAGUAUAUAAUGAAAAAUGAUACAGGUAAGAAACUGCUUGUGGGAAAUGGCAGGCCUAUUUGUAUAGAACAUCAGGGUAGAACAAUUCCUGACAUAAAAAUGAGUUUUCUUAAAAUACUAAGAGCAAACUAGAGAAUUCUCACUGUGACGAAAAGAAUACAUCCAAAAUACCUGCAAAGAGCUUUUCAUUGUUCUUAUACAGAUACAGGCACAGCAAGCCAGUAAUUAGAAUUAGAUCUAAACCUCCUGUUUAGGAUGCUGGUGCAUGCAGGUGUUGGUGGUAUGCAUGCAGGUGUUGUCACUUCACCUGCGAUUUUUGCUUACUCCCUGAGGUCCUGACUUUAUAAAUUGGCUCCAUUAGAAAAAAUGAAGUGUAUUUUAAUGUUAUCUUCUCCUUUGACCUUCUUCUGAUACUCUCCUAACUCUGUUUUUGUUGUUGCUGUUUUUUCUGGUUCCAUUGAUCAAACGGGUGUUGAUUCAAUGCACAAAAACAUUUUGCAGAAAGCACUACUGAGCUCCGCUCUUCAAGUCUUUUCUCCCUCCGAGAUCCAAACGUUUCAUUUUUGGUUUAAGUUUCCCAGGCACCAGAGGAAGCUGCUAAGAGCGUUGUCUUCUCCAGGCAGCAGACAGCGCACUCCAAACUUCAUCAAUGGUUUUCUCCAUGUAACAGCACGCUUUGUGAAGUGAAGAAAAAAGACGGAGAGAUCCACAACAGCCGCUAGUGAAAGCCGUCUAGUCAUCAGUGCGUUUGUAGCUGGUACCUUGUUACCUGGCUGACAGCUCAAGAGAGAGAGUGGCUUUUCUGAUGUGGCAAUGGUAAAUCUUCACAGAACCCCUUUCUUCUGACACUGAACAGGGAAUUCCACUGAAACCAGGAUUUUAACAUGUUUCCUAAAACUGCUGUCUCUGUACCCUUCCGACGGCACAGCUUCUGCUUAUAUCGCUUCACAAACUCCUACGGAGAAGCUUUCUGCUCCUAUUGAAGGGAACACGUAAACUCCGUUCUUGCAGAGUACCUACGGAUCCGGUGACCUGCCGCCGCCUUCUCCUCCUGUAUCGCAAACUCUAUGGAACUGAAUUACUGAAAACAGAAACUUUGUUUGCUAGAAGACACUUCUAAUUGGAGAAGUGUUUCUGUGCUUUAAAGUAAGCAAGUCUGGUAAAGGCGUGUUAUAAAAUCAAAUUAACUGUGGUAAAUUACAAAGAAAUCACCCUUAGAAUAUAUCACUGCAUCUUUCCCAUCUCCCAAGGUUUUUUGUCCUCCUCCUUCUUUACACGUCAGAUCAGAAACCGGGAGCUCAUCUGGUGUUGACAAAUGCAGGGUAUGUUAGGCUUUGACUUUAUAGGAGAAAAAUGGGUCACCAGCAUGUUAUUGGCAGCUCAAGUUUGGUGUCAUUUAGCCAGCUGAAGAGAAAAAAAUAGGCCAUUGAUUAGUCCAGCAACAGCCUAGGGCCUCUGUAUUUUAAUUACAUAUGUUCUCUGGACUUAAUUCAUCCCUGGUGAAUCAUCAUUGACUUAAAUGGAGCUUCAUAAUGGAGGAAUUUCCCCAAUACAUUUUGUUCUUUGUAUUAUUAAUACAUCUAAGUGUUGUGAAUAACUCUGUUUCCCAAAACAAACAUUCAGGCUUCUGUAAAAGCUGGUGCUUGGAGACUUUAAAGAACCCCGAAGACCAAAAGGUUUUGCAUCC